GGCCCUAUAGUCUAGCGGUAAAAUAAUUCGUUUACACCGAAUAGUCCGAGGUUCAACUCCUCGUGGGGCCA
rnacentral:tRNA from 1 species